UUCUUCGGGGCGGGGUGAAAUUCCCUGACCGGCGGUAUAGCCCGCGAGCGCGGCACGUAUGUGUGAUAACCACCUGCGACAGUGCAUGAUCCGGUGUGAUUCCGGAGCCGACAGUACAGUCUGGAUGAGAGAAGAA
rnacentral:ncRNA from 1 species